AUGCCACACUAUAAUGUUUGGACGAGGCACGGAGAAAUAAGGGUUAUGAUGGAAGACGACGAAGAAGAAGAGUACGAUAACAACUACGUGCCCCCUGAAUACCGUGAUGCUGCAACGGGGGGAGCUGGUGAAGAUCAAGAGGAACCAGACGAUGUGCCCAAUGAUGUUGCAACAGGUGAAGGUGCUGAAGAUCAAGAGGAACCAGACGAUGUGCCCGAUGAUGAUAAUCUCCGCCGGGUCAUUGUCGAUGCAAGGACGCAAUGCGAAAGUCAAAAGAAGAAGCUGAAGUUCGAUCGCAUGUUAGAGGAUCACAAAAAAGGGUUGUACCCCAAUUGCGAAGAUGGCAACACAAAGCUCGGUACCGUACUGGAAUUGCUGCAGUGGAAGGCAGAGAAUGCUGUGCCUGACAAA
rnacentral:rRNA from 1 species